rnacentral:lncRNA from 1 species
UUUUAUUUGGGUUUUGGAUUUGGGUUGUGGACUUGGGUUGUGGACUUGAUUUGGUUUUGGUUUGGUUUGGGUUCGGAUUUUAUUUGGGUUUUGGUUUCGGGCUUUAUUUGUGAACUUGAUUUGGUUUGGGCUUGGGUUUAUUUAUGGAAUGGGUUUGGGUUCUUUAUGUGGACUUGGUUUGGUUUGGGUUUAUUUGGGUUUUGGGUUUGGUUUGGGUUGGGUUUGGUUUGGGUUCAAGUUUGGGUUUAUUUGUAUACUAGGUUUGGGUUUGGGUUUGGAUUUGAUUUGGGUUUUGGGUUUGGGUUUAUUUGUGGAUUGUAUUUGGUUUUGGUUUGGUUUGGUUUCGGAUUUUAUUUCGGGUUCGGGGCAAUCCACUUUUGAUUUUUGCAAUUUGGUUUGGAUCCGAAGAAAUCCACCUUUUGAUUUUGGUUU